AAGGAUCAUUAAUGAAAGAAAUCAAUUUUCGCAUUGAUCUUUUCCAUUGUGCUAUUUAGACUUAAUGAAUUGGGGAUUAAAAAUGUUGGUUAAAAGCCGACGGCCCCAGCUUUAUAUAAACUCUUAUUAUUUUGACUGAUCUUGCAAAAUUAUAAUGCAAAAAACAACUUUCAACAACGGAUCUCUUGGUUCUC
rnacentral:misc_RNA from 1 species